GUAAAUAAUUAAGGGCGUAUGGUGGAUGCCUAGGCUCUCAGAGGCGAAGAAGGACGUGAUAAGCUGCGAAAAGCUCCGUUUAGGUGCAAAUAACCUUUGAUGCGGAGAUCUCCGAAUGGGAUAACCCAAUAUGUUGAAGACAUAUUAUACCGUAAGGUAGGCAAACGCAGGGAACUGAAACAUCUAAGUACCUGCAGGAGAAGAAAACAAACGUGAUUCCCCCAGUAGCGGCGAGCGACCGGGGAUAAGCCCAAACCGUUAUUGUUUCGGCAGUAGCGGGGUAGUAGGACUGCGACAUUGAUGAAAUAAAUGAAAUGGAACACCUUGGAAAAUGUGAUCACAGAGGGUGAUAAUCCCGUACAUGCAAGUUUAUGAAUCAUAGCAGUAUCCUGAGUAAGUCGGGACACGUGUAAUCCUGACCGAAUCCGCCGGGACCAUCCGGCAAGGCUAAAUACUCCUGAGAGACCGAUAGUGAACCAGUACCGUGAGGGAAAGGUGAAAAGCACUUCGAACAGAAGAGUGAAAUAGUCCCUGAACCCAUACGCCUACAAGCUGUCGGAGCCGCUUCGUGCGGUGACGGCGUGCCUUUUGCAUAAUGAGCCUACGAGUUACUCAUCACCAGCGAGGUUAAGUACUUCAGGUACGUAAGCCGAAGCGAAAGCGAGUCUGAAUAGGGCGUCAAGUUGGUGGUGGUAGACGCGAAACCUUAGUGAUCUACCCAUGGGCAGGGUGAAGGUUUGGUAACACAAACUGGAGGCCCGAACCGGUAAACGUUGAAAAGUUUUCGGAUGACCUGUGGGUAGGGGUGAAAGGCCAAUCAAACUGGGAAAUAGCUCGUACUCUCCGAAAUGCAUUUAGGUGCAGCCUCUGUUGUUUUGUUCUAGAGGUAGAGCUACUGAUUGGAUGCGAGGGCUUCACCGCCUAUCAAAUCCGGCCAAACUCCGAAUGCUAGAACAUGAAGACAGGGAGUGAGCCAGCGGGUGCUAAGGUCCGUUGACGAAAGAGGGAGAACUCAGACCAUCAGCUAAGGUCCCCAAUUAUAUGCUAAGUUGGAAUUAAAACGGGGUGGGACUGCUUAGACAGCUAGGAUGUUGGCUUGGAAGCAGCCAUUCAUUUAAAGAGUGCGUAACAGCUCACUAGUCGAGCGGUCCUGCAUGGAUAAUACGCGGGCAUAAGCAUAUAACCGAAGCUAUGGGAUUGUAGAUGAUACAAUCGGUAGGAGAGCAUUCCAUUCAGCGUAGAAGCAGUAUCGUGAGGUAUUGUGGAGCGGAUGGAAAAGCAAAUGUAGGCAUAAGUAACGAUAAUGCGGGUGAGAACCCCGCACGCCGAAAGAUCAAGGAUUCCCCGGCAAUGUCAAUCAUCCGGGGGUAAGUCGGAUCCUAAGGGUAAGCCGAGUGGCGAUCCCGAUGGCAAACAGGUUAAUAUUCCUGUACUGAUCAUAACUGCGAUGCAGCGACGCAGAGGUGACACUGCUGCGUACUGACGGAAUAGUACGUUGAAACCCGUAUUCUUUGAUACCGGUAGUGAAGCACGCCGGUAGAGAUGAAAGGUGAUAGUACCGCAAUGCUUCGGUUGCGCGGAUAAUGCAGGUAAGCUGACUGCCAAGAAAACCUGCUAAGCUUCAGGUAAUGAUCAUCCGUACUGUAAACGGACACACGUGAUCAGGUAGAAAAUACUAAGGCGCUCGAGAGAUUCAUGGUUAAGGAACUAGGCAAAAUGGUCCUGUAACUUCGGGAUAAAGGACGCUCUUGUGAAAGAGCCGCAGAUAAUAGGCCCAGGCGACUGUUUACCAAAAACACAUGGCUAUGCUAAUUCGCAAGAAGAUGUAUAUGGCCUGACACCUGCCCGGUGCCGGAAGGUUAAGAGGAGAGCUCAGAGGCAACUCGAAGGUUUGAAUUGAAGCCCCGGUAAACGGCGGCCGUAACUAUAACGGUCCUAAGGUAGCGAAAUUCCUUGUCGGGU
rnacentral:rRNA from 1 species